GACGAACGCUGGCGGCGUGCUUAAGACAUGCAAGUCGUACGAGAAAGCCUCUUCGGAGGUGAGUAAAGUGGCGCACGGGUGAGUAACACGUGGGUAAUCUGCCCUUGGGUUUGGGAUAACCCCGGGAAACCGGAGCUAAUACCGAAUGAGACCACGACGACCUUGGUCGAUGUGGGAAAAGAUGGCCUCUUCUUGAAAGCUAUCGCCAAAGGAUGAGCCCGCGGUUGAUUAGCUAGUUGGUGAGGUAACGGCUCACCAAGGCUCCGAUCAAUAGCUGGUCUGAGAGGAUGAUCAGCCACACUGGAACUGAGAUACGGUCCAGACUCCUACGGGAGGCUG
rnacentral:rRNA from 1 species